rnacentral:misc_RNA from 1 species
AAUGUCGCAACAAGGGUUUCCGUAGGUGAACCUGCGGAAGGAUCAUUAAAUGAGAUAGGGGUUCUUCAUGGCCCGACCUCCAACCUCUGUUGUUAUAACUACCUUGUUGCUUUGGCGGGACCGUCUCGGUCUCCGAGCGCACUAACCCUUCGGGUUGGUGAGCGCCCAGCCAGAGUCCAACCAAAUCUCUUGUAUUAAAGCCAGUCGUCUGAGUAUAAAAAGUUUUUCAAUUAAAUUCAAAAC